rnacentral:hammerhead_ribozyme from 1 species
ACACUGCUGAAGAGUCUCAUACUAAGACGAAACGGCCGUCCAGUGC